CCGAGUUAGGGUCCCUCGUGGCCCGACCUCCAACCCUUGUGUUUAACUAUACCACGUUGCUUCGACGGGCCCGUCCCCUCCAGGACCGCCGGGCCUGCUCACCCAGGUCUGGCCCGUUGCCCGCCGACAGCCCAACAACCAAAACUCUUGAAUCAACCGUGUCG
rnacentral:misc_RNA from 1 species